rnacentral:lncRNA from 1 species
UUAUUUAUUUAUUUUAGUUUGAAUUUUUUUAAAAAGCAACAUUGACAGUCAUGUAUAGUAUAUAAAUAGGGGAAAAAAAAAGAUCUGGGCUCACACACACAAUCCCUGUGCACACUGGAAUUGGUAAGAGGAGACUUACACUUUUUUCUUUAUGUGCUUUUGGCAUUUGGGGCAAAAAAAAAAAAAAAAAUUUCUCCCUUGCCAGUAAUAGAAUCAGCAAGUUCUAUUCUGUGACACAGGAAAAAAAAAUGAGAAAAAAAAAUCUAUACCUAUGGAUUAAUGGAUAAGCAAAGGAAAGAUGAAGAAAAAGGAAAAUGAAGCUUACAAUCUUCAGAUCUGCCCACAUUCUCACCUGCAGUUUUAUGUCUCAAAAUCUGGGUCUGUCUUAUUCAGGUUUCAAGUCACUGGUGUGGAACUCCGUCUUCCUGGGAUUACACAGUGUCAGGAAUGCUGUUGGCAUGAACGCAAUACUAAUAGUAAAGCAACAGGAGGCAUUUUUACAAGAGAGAGCACUCCCCAGAUGGAUUUUGAUAAGGCUCAUGAAUUCUCUCCAAAUGGAUUCUUCUAAGUCAGUCAUUAGAAAUGGUACAAAUUCAUAAACUUCUCUACGGUCAUCUCAUGAGAAGGAAGAUCUCACUACAACAUGUGUCCUGAAUAAGGAAAGCUAUACAAAUUGUUGACAAUAAGGUCUAUGUGGUCAAUCAAUCACCUUGGCAAGAAACAGAACAAAAGCAGAAACAAAAAAGAAAUGCAGAAACAAAUAAUUAUUAGGCGGUCAUGAUUUUUUUUUGAGUUAUUGAAUAUAACUGAUGAGAUUUGCUCUGAAUCUUUCUUGGUGCCCACAAGACUAGAGGAGAAAGCAGAUUUUCCUAAAUCUGAAAAAUUUUGGCACCAUUUCCCAAGUAACUGUACAAAGAGCUCCAUGUAUUGACAGCUCAAAGAUCCUAAGAGAGAUAAUCUUCCAAGAUUUAGAAGAUAAUGACAGAGAAUCAGGACAUUUUCUGAGGAUAAAUGACCAGCUGGAAGGAAUUCACAGCAUUAACGUCAACCAAGUGCCAUUAACCCACCUGUUCCCUGAAAUUGCUCUAGACCGCUUGCCAUGUAUGCUGGACAUGUGCUGUUCCUCAUCCAGGUGGACUGGAGAAGAUGGAACCACUGUUUCUGCAUAAUAGGUUCCGUAAUAUUUUUGUGAGUUCCGUAAUAUAUUUUGUGAAUUUUUUGAAAGUUUCAUUUGAUAGCAAGUACCAUUAGCAGGAAGUUUAACACUGUUCCUGGCAGUUGAGGCUAGAAGGGCAGAGCCAGCAGCCAGCAGGGUGGAGACCUGGCAUGCUGCCCCUAGACUGCUGACUUUGCUCACAAUUUCUAAGGUCUGUGCCUGGGGGUUUUCAACAAAUCCAUAAUCUGGAAAAUCACAGCACUGGAACCUAUCUUAGGGCAACUUUUUGAAAUCAUUAUCAAAAAAAUUUUAGAAGCCGUAAAAGAAUUAAGGUAAAAGAGUGAGAAUUAACUCCCUGAUAGUCUUCAAGAAACUAAUGUUAUUACUUUGUAAGUAAGGUCUUUGCAGUUAUACUCCAAUCUAAGGCGCAUCUUCAAAAUUUCCCUAUUUUCUUUUAAUCAUUAAUGAUAUCCUCUAUUUGUUAUUCUUUUAAAGUGCAGCAUUUCCAGAGUGAAUGAGUAGGAAUUCUUAUUAAGCAGAUAAGCAAAGCAGCAAUGUGAAGACAGUGAGAUUUCU